UUUCCUUUUAUUCCCCAAGGAAGGGGGUGGUUGUAAAUAUUGUCAAUUUUUUCUGUAAUUUUUUUUUGUUUCUAUAUGUUUUACUUCAUUUAAGAUUUUUUAAUGUCUUUUCAUAUUGUCAUCCAAGUCUCAUAAACAUCAGAAUUACAAUUGUGUAUUUCUAAGUGGUUUCACUAGGUAUUAGACAUCUUUUUAUGACUUGUCUAAGUUUACAAUGUGAGAUCGCUACCUGAUAGAUAAAUUUUGGAAUCAAUCUUAUUGGAAAUUAGAGAUAUUUUAGAAGUGGAGUUUAUCUUUAGUUGAACGAUUUAUAUUUAUUAAAUCCCACUGCCUCCUGUAAAAUAGUUGUUAACAAUUGUAGUCCUUUAACACUUACAUUUUUAAUAUUACUGCAGCAUUUUCUAAUAGUACUAUUGGUUGCAGAGUUUUUGCAAGACAUGCAAUGG
rnacentral:misc_RNA from 1 species